rnacentral:rRNA from 1 species
GACGAACGCUGGCGGCGUGCUUAACACAUGCAAGUCGAACGGAAAGGCCCUGCUUUUGUGGGGUGCUCGAGUGGCGAACGGGUGAGUAACACGUGAGUAACCUGCCCUUGCCUUUGGGGUAACUUAAGGAAACUGGGGCUAAUACCGGAUAGGAGCUCCUGCUGCAUGGUGGGGGUUGGAAAGUUUCGGCGGUUGGGGAUGGACUCGCGGCUUAUCAGCUUGUUGGUUGGGUAGUGGCUUACCAAGGCUUUGACGGGUAGCCGGCCUGGGAGGGUGACCGGCCACGUUGGGCCUGGGAUGCGGCCCAGACUCCUACGGGAGGCAGCAGUGGGGAAUAUUGUACUAUGGGCGGAAGCCUGAUGCAGCAACGCAGCGUGCGGGAUGACGGCCUUCGGGUUGUAUACCGCUUUCGCCUGUGACGAAGCGUGAGUGACGGUAAUGGGUAAAGAAGCACCGGCUAACUACGUG